AUAAAGCCUUUUGAAAUAGUGGAGGUGAGUGUUUGAGAAUACGAGCCUUAAUUAGAUAGUUUUUUUUCUUUUCUUUUAUCUCUUUUUUUUUUUAUUGGUGAUGUGGUAGUGUUAAAUCGCAGCUCAAGAUUUCAAAAGCACCCUUGGAAAUUCUCGUCACUUGCACUAACAGGAGUCUGGUAAAUGUAAGAAAUAGCGGUAUCAUGUUUGCUGGAGCGUGAGUAUUGGUUUGUCCUAUAGAGCAAAAAGAUAAGAAAGGCACCAAUGAUAUGCCCAAUGAUGCGUGUUUAUAAGUAUCGCAAAGACCAGUCAUACGGAAAAGAAGAAAAUAACACAAUGAAGAAAAACAAAAGAAAAACAAGUAGAAGAUAGAAGAGAGAGGUGAUUUUACACGAGUAUCAUGAAGAAGUAAAGUGGAGUAAAGUAAAGCAGGAAAGUAAAGUAAAGGAAGAGAAGAAGAAAGGUGAGUGUGAAGACAACUAGGGGUUAAACUAUCAGCUUGUUACUUUAAAGGUAACGAGGCCAGAAACUAUCGGGGUAUUUUGGAACUAUCUUCUUGCUUAUUGGUCAUUUUGUUGGAACUAUCUCUUUGCUUCACAUUUCGGAUCUUCGAGGUACCGUCUCCUGCGCUGAAUUCCGGCUUCCGACCUGACGCCUGGGCGACGAGACCGAGGGAAGGCAGAUUCUCCUGAGCUCUGGCUGAGUCAACACUACCUAGACUCGCCUCUGCCUCCAAAAGUAUUCUCCCGUGAAGCCCUGCUCACCGCUCGCUUUGGGGACCUGAGCCAGUCUCCUGGGAGCCGUGUGUAGCCAGCCUGAGUCCAGACCAGCCUAUGGAUGAACCACCAUACUACUCUGGCUUGCUGGUGGUUCUGCAUCCACCUCCUGUUUCAAUCCUGGUCACCGCUGGAUACCGUUCUGCCUACUCUUCACCCCUACACCCUGCUCCAUUCCUCGUCCUCUCCUUGGGAUCCUGUACCCGUGUGCUGCUCCCGGGACGGCCGUGUGUUAAGUGGAUGGGCGUGGUACCAGCGCUAGAGCAACAACCUCUCUAAGUGGCGACGAACGUCCAUAUAGUUAGUGUGUUGGAGUGCUUUCAUUUUUUCAUUACUCUGUUUAUUCCUCUGCAGCUCUGGGAGGGAAGGCCACAUCCCUGGUUUUUAGUGGAAGAAGGCAGUGUUAUUUCCAUCUGUCGAGUUACCUGCCUCGAGCAUUCACUAGUGGCGACCUCGCCAAGACUGUGCCUUCUCGACCCUCUGUUGUGGAGUAUGUAGUGCUAACGGUCAUCGUUGGGGGACAGGUAGUGUUACCUUCCCCGGCGCAUUAUCAAAGGCUCGGAAGUGAGUAUUUUUGACUGUUGGUUUGUGAGGGCUUGUUUCUAAUCACUUGCGUCUUUAAGGACUCCGGUUGAGUCCUUUAUGUUGUCAGGUGCGGAGUUUUUCCUGUGACGUCAUGUAUUUUUCUCUAUUGCUUCCUUGGGCGUCCUUUAUUCACGGAUUAUUGUUUCCUUUGUGUUCAUGUCUCCUAUCAAGGAGCUAGUUGAGUUGGGAAGAGAUGGGACUCGGGAGUGACGAGCUACGUGAGUCUUGUUUCUACUCGGCAACCGUUGCAACGAGACGAAAGAGGGUGAAGAGAGGAAAGAAGGAAAGGAAAUCGAACAUGCCCUUGCCAUGUCCGAAUUAAAGCUGUCACUGCAAGAACAAGGAACAAACCGAGAUCCAGUGAUCUUGCCUGGGGAUUGUGGGACUGUUCCCCGACGUUCUCUACUAGUCUAUCAAGACGAUCUGACCUCCUAAUUCACACGCUUUGAACUUAUUGCUGCCGUGCUCAACAUUAAUCAGGACAACUAUGCCAUUCGACUGGGUGGUCUUCUCUCUGGUAAGCUAGCAGAAAUCUACACUACCUUGGCUGAUGACUUAAUUUGUGACUAGCCUAAACUUAAAUCCUCUCUCCUAAGAAGUUUCAGUCUCAGAUCUUUUGUAAUUAUGGACUAGUUUCUUGCCUCUAUUUCUCCAGAUAUAAGAACCUUCUUGAAAGAAAACGACGUGUAGACCUUGGACGACGCUGUCAAACUUGCAGAUAUUUGGGCAGCUGCCCAUUGUGCUUACCCGAGACACACCCAGCUGGACGAAGCCGUCACCUACAUCUCCAACUACCACCAACCAAGCUUCUCGCCGAUCUCCUCCACCGGCCAGGAAGUCUUCGACACCCGUCAGGUGUCACAAUUGUGGGGAGCCAGGACACGUUCGACCUCGAUGUCUCUAAAAUCCAGCUUUGUUCAGGACUGGUAGCACUCCUCAACCAGACACACAUAAGGUGGGUUUCUGCUUGUGAUCCUACUACUGAUCUCUACUUUUCUUCUGGCACCAUCAAUGGAGCGAGAGUAUCUACCAUCAUAAGUGACACUGGCUGUUCCUGUGUCCUUGUAUCUGAGGAAGCCUUACCCGAUGUAGACUCUCCCAGUGUCCUAAAGUUCUUGUUUCUGACUAUUUAGGAAGAGUGGACUCCUUCACUCAGAUACGAUGCUACCUUCGCUGUCCCUUCUACGAAGGUUAUGUUGAUGCUGUUCGUGCUCCAAUCAAGUUCUGUAGUGUUCUGGUUGGUAAUGUGGAAGGAGUGAGCACACCAGACCAUAACAUGAAAAAGGCUUGUCUGCCUCGGCAUUGGUCACGUUCCUGAGAAGGUUGAAGUUGAAACCCGGAGCCGCGCGGCACGAAGAAUUCAUCCCCUUGUGCUACCAGAACUCCAACCUAUUAACGUUACUUCCCGGGAAUUUUCUCGCCUGCAGAAUUUGUUCCUCCCUUCAGGCUCUCCGUCGUAAGGCAUCAACUGGUGAAGAAGAGGUACCUCGCAGUGGUUCGAAGUUUUCCUACGAGUUUUCUGAUGAACUACUCUACCGAGUGUGCCGUUCUUCUAGCAACCAAGAACAAGAAUUUGUUCCUCCCUUCAGGCUCUCCGUCGUAAGGCAUCAACUGGUGAAGAAGAGGUACCUCGCAGUGGUUCGAAGUUUUCCUAAGAGUUUUCUGAUGAACUACUCUACUGAGUGUGCCUUUCUUCUAGCAACCAAGAACAAGUGGGAAAGAAGACUGGUCAUCCCUGCUGAGUGUCGUUGGUGCUGUUUCUGCCCAUGAGGGCCCAGUGUCAGGACAUUUCUCCUACAAGAAGGCUAGAGGGUGCACGAGGCAGCGGACGAUCCUACUCACGUGACCACCACCACCACCACCGUAGUCGUCGCCGCCACCACCACCACCACCACCACCACCAGCGCCAUCCCUAUCUACAUUUCUUGUUUUCAUGUAAAGGAGAAAACUGGCUAUGGACAAUAAAAAUAUCUAUAAAAGUCA